UUUUUUUUUUUGAACACAACUUCAUUUAUAAGCUUAAUCGGUUACAUGACUAGAACGCAUCAUUGGACAUAUCCGAUGUGCAAGCCUGGUAGCUACAACAGCAAAACAGCUAAAGCGAUAGAAGGAUAGGUACACAAGCUUUGACAAGGUUGAUAAAGUAUUAGAAAAGUCUUCGAAGGAGCCACUUGCGGACAGAAUCACAAAGGAUUCCCAACGUACUUCAAAAGCUUCUAACUUGAGGAUCGUCACCUUAACUUGUGACUUUGGCAGACACUUCAAAACCUUGGUUCUCACCAAAACGGUUAGGACAGUGGUUAAAUUCACCGGAAUUGGAUCCGGACAGAGUGAACCUCUCAUGGAGGAGACAAACAAUUGACCAACUUUCUCCUCAACGAAGGAGGAGCGUGGAAGUGGUCUCUCCUGGCCCCAAGGUGGGGUUUGAUAAGUCUUUACCACUGCACCGGCAAACAAAGGAAGAAGCUUGAUGAGAUUUGGCUGUAAGGUAAAAGCCAAGGUCCUCCAGAGCCUU
rnacentral:lncRNA from 1 species